AAAAUUUCAAAUUUCGCAAGAACCUCUAUCCGAGUUAAUUAAUGCACGAUAUCCACUGCAUUUAUUUCACCAAAUUACUUAGGUAGCAUGCAAUCAAUACAUUUAAUUAUUUUUCUCUUCCCAUUUAAUUUUAUUUUGGAACAUAACUCCUAUAUAACGAAGCACAUCCACUUAAUUAUCACAGUUCACACAAGCUCAAGCAAAGAGCAACACAAUGACAAACUCUUCAACAAAAUUUGCUCUCGUUUUCCUUUUCUUGAUCGUCAUUGCCGGUAAGCGUGAAAACUCUGUCUCAUUUCUUUCUUUGCUACAAAAGGAUUCAACGAAAUGUAUUACAUGUCGUGAUCAGCUCUUUUAAUCAAUCCGUUUGGAUCGGAGUUAGAAGCGAUAAUAAAAUCAACUUGUAUUGCAGGAGAGAUAAACGCACAGAAGUACCCGCCCACGGGCGAGAAAUGUGGCGUGAAGGGAGAUUGCAAGGGAGGAGUUUACUGCGUGUGUGAUAAGGGGAAAUGCUAUUGCUCUACUGCCCAUGAUGAGCCCUCUUUUAUCAAAGGAGAAGCAAGAUCAUAGUAAAAAUAAUUGUGUGAUCAUAUAACUAAUAAAUUAAGCUAGCUUGUUGUUGGGAGAUUUUGAAUAAAAUAAAUUAUAAUUAUAACUCGUCAAUCGAAAAUAAUCGAAACAAAUAUCUAUAAGUAUUUCAUUCCACCUUAUUGCCUUUUUAUAUCGAAAGAA
rnacentral:lncRNA from 1 species